rnacentral:rRNA from 1 species
CACGUAGGGGGCGAGCGUUGUCCGGAUUUAUUGGGCGUAAAGAGCUCGUAGGCGGCUAAGUAAGUCAGGUGUGAAAACUCCAGGCUCAACCUGGAGACGCCACCUGAUACUGCUUUGGCUAGAGUCCGGUAGGGGAGCAUGGAAUUCCUGGUGUAGCGGUGAAAUGCGCAGAUAUCAGGAAGAACACCCGUGGCGAAGGCGGCUCUCUGGGACGGUACUGACGCUGAGACGCGAAAGCGUGGGGAGCGAACAGG